rnacentral:misc_RNA from 1 species
AAAAAAAAAAUCUUUAUUUACUGUUAGGCUAAUUUGGAAUUGGCAGUGAUUGAUGCAAGAUUAUACAGAUAUUUUCUUUCCACUAGGAGGUGGAAUCUGUUUGGCAAGAAAUUACCCAGUUUUAUUAGUUGGUAGGUAGGUAUGUCUCUCAUCCUCUCUUUGUGAUUGCCUGAGAUGAGUGAUUGAACCAUUUGUGGCUUUUGUUUAAAUUGAUGCUCUCUAAUUUCUCUAAAGGACUGAUAUUUUAUAUUUGUUUAUAAAGACAAAUCAAAUUUGCAACACAAUUUGGUUGGGUCCUUGGUUUUAGAGAUUAAGACAAUACCUAAAUAGAA